AGACCCACAACACCUAUUAACAUCAACACAGCCCAUUUCUAAGAUAUAUUUCAGCACAUCUUUGCUUCCAUAUAAGGCAGCAAUCAUAAGGGGUGUCCGCUCCUCAUACCCCAUCUUUUUUGAGCCAAUUCUCCUUCCAUACCACAAGCCUAGCUCAUCAACAUCACGGCCUCCUUCAAUUUCUCUCUUAAACCCAAUAAGAUCAUUCGAGGCAGACAAUUCGAGCAGAAAAGAGAGAUCACAGCAAAACCCAUCUUGUCGUUGAAAUUCAUUCUUCUCCAUGAUGAAACCAGAAUGAGUUGUUGUCUUUGACCCACUGCACAUCGAAAUAGUUCUCCUUUAUCAGGCCUUGUUCGAACUCCCUUUUUUUUCUUUAUUAAAUGCAAAAAUGAGAGCACCAGGCAAAAGUUCUGGCUUAUUAAAGUUCUUGAGUUUUACCCUUCACUUUGAAGUUUUAACUACACAGAACCAGAGAGAGGAAAAGACUAUUGGCUUCUCCCUUUUAAUGGGUUUUUGGGGGCAAAAAGACGACCCUGUGGUGGAACUACU
rnacentral:misc_RNA from 1 species